UAGUGACAACGUUGGAAAACUUCAAGAUAAAAAAGCCUUCAAGAUAUUUUUCUCCCGUUGUUGCAAUAACAUGUAUUCAUGAGCAGCGUUAUGCCUUCUUGAAACAAGUAUAAUGUAAAUAUAUGCUUGUUAGUUCAAGGUGGAUACAUGUUUUGCCAUUUGUCUGGAGUACCAUUACUCAUUUGUUGAUAAUACGUGCCUUCUGGUUUGAAAUGAAACUGGUUCAAAUAAAAUAGAAAAGAAAUUGAGGAUUCAUAUAGUAGAUAUAUGGAUUUAUAUAUAGAUAGUUGACCGGAAAAUUUUGGAGAAAAAAAAUAAUAUUUUGUUGGUGAUCUCAUCUCUUUAAUUGUAAAGUAUUGUAGGAUGAAGAAGAUGAAAGAAUGAGGGGAUUAAUGAUUCUUCCAAGACAAAAGAUGAUGUCUUGUAAUCAAGACCAAAUCAAGUAAUGACCAAAAACGCAAAAGAUGGAACGUGAAAUUUGCUUCGGAAAAAUUCAUACAAGAUCUGAUUAUGCGAAAGAUACAAUUUUAAGGAAGCACGAUAUAAUAUUUCUCAAGAAUACCAUACGGAUUUUUCCCUACUUUGAUCCGCCAUUACGUGUUUUCGCAAAAGAGAAUCGGUUCAGGUAUGUUAAGGCUAUCCCUUCUUUCUUUUGACAUGAUCCAUACGACACGAAUGAAAUGAGCAAAUACAUAACUUCCAUAAAUGAUUCUAUUCAUAGAAAUACUAGGGGUGUCUAUAUUCUUGAUUCCCCAUGUGAAUUAUUAUUAUAUCUUCUGUUCGUGGGUCUUAGAAAAAUACGUAUUUGAUAAAGUUUAUCCGACAUGCAUAUUAUUUUUAUGACAUUCUGAGAAAUCUUAUUAACGUAUUUCUUAUGCAUUUCAUGCAUUUAUACAUGUACAUUGACCCAUGACCAGAUGACGUUAUAUACGCGUAUAUAUAUGUAUAUGGGAUGUGGAAAAAUGUUACGGCGUUAUAUACGCACCACCACCUGAUCAGCUGGUAUACGUUGAUGAUUUGCCCACAGUGGCCGAGAUGAUAUGAUGGGAUGCCCUCAGAGGCUUGAUGAUGCUAUGAACACAUGUACCUAUGCACGACAUGACAUUAAUACGCAUAUGCAUAACACUAUGAGUAUUUCAUUAUUUACAGAGUUAUUCAGACUUACAUGUCGAGUCUUUUACUCCAUGUUUCUCUCAUGUUUAUUAUUUACUGAUUUUCAUUCCUUACAUACUCGGUACAUUAUUUGUACUGACGUUCCUUUUGUCGGGGAUGCCGCAUUUCAUGCCUGCAGGUCUUGAUAGACAGGUCGAGAAUCUUCCAAGUAGGCUAUCAGCUCAGUAGAAGGUGUUGGUGUGCUCCAUUUGCUCCGGAGUUACUUCUUUGGUUAGUAUGAUUGAUACAUGUAUCGAUUAGUAUGACGGGACCUUAUCCUAACCUUUGUGAUAUUAUGUAUUCUUAGAGGCUUGUAGACAGAUGUCAUGUAUAUGGAUACUUGUAUGGCCUUGUCGGCCUAUGUCUCGAGUAUAUAAAGAAUCAUGCCGGCCUUAUAGGCCCCGUUCUUCAUAUGUAUAAGUUUGUAUUCCCUCAUGAUUUACUACGGUCCAUUUACCUAUGAU
rnacentral:lncRNA from 1 species